AAAAGGGUCGAUGCCCCCGCGACCCGCGCCCCCUCCCACGCGUCCCUUGACCGCGCCGCCUCAUCGCCGCCCCGUGCUCCCUCCUCGCCGCCCUCGACCGCCGCCGCCACCGCAACAGGGCAUCGUCGCCAUUUUUGCUGUGCCCUACGCUCACGAGUGGAGUUCGUCGCCGACGCCACAACCCACCGCUCGUGGCAUCCAUGCCGCAUCUCCCUGACCGUCGCCACCGUUGCUCCAUUCAUCUGGUCGGUAACGAUGGAGGAGGCGGCCUUGAGUGGGCAGCGGUGAGGUUUUACCAUUUUAGUAUGGUCGCUAGAGCACCGUGGCACACUGGCACGCGGAGGUCCAUGCACCACUGCGGCGGCUGGAGAGGACCCUAGGGUUUGCGCACGCGGCUAGAUUGAAAGGCUGCAAUGUGUCCUGGCAUUCAGGCAAAUCAUCCAUCUCCAAGUCCGACCGCUGACGCUCGAUCUGAAUCCUCUGCCUGAAAAUGGGCUGCUGGCCGGUAAAUUAGGCAGUUCCAGAGGAUAGAGCAGGAAGAGAGUCAGCACCAUGAAUAUUGAAUUGAUAACUGAUGCAUUGGAGUGACAGUAGAGCAGCAGAGAUUUGCUUGCAAACCGGUUGGCUGAUUUUCUGUAAGUCAAUGGCUUGGAAAUAUUUUGCUCCUGCAUGUUUGCCUGUAUCACUGCAUGUUAUAGGGGAUAAGUU